rnacentral:rRNA from 1 species
CAGUCGCCACGGUAAUACGUAGGGGGCAAGCGUUGUCCGGAAUUAUUGGGCGUAAAGCGCGCGCAGGCGGUCAUUUAAGUCUGGUGUUUAAUCCCGGGGCUCAACCCCGGAUCGCACUGGAAACUGGGUGACUUGAGUGCAGAAGAGGAGAGUGGAAUUCCACGUGUAGCGGUGAAAUGCGUAGAUAUGUGGAGGAACACCAGUGGCGAAGGCGACUCUCUGGGCUGUAACUGACGCUGAGGCGCGAAAGCGUGGGGAGCAAACAGGAUUAGAUACCCCCGUAGUCCCUGUCUCUUAUACC